UUGAUUGGCUCAGUUGGUAGAGCGCUCAACUGGAAAUGGUGAGGUCCCUGGUUCAAUACCAGCACAUG
rnacentral:tRNA from 1 species